UAGGGGAGACGGGGCUCGGAACCCCUCCCCGAGCCUAGGGUAACUCUCAAGGUGGAGGAGAA
rfam:Tupaia chinensis contig206606, whole genome shotgun sequence.